UUACAUGCUUUUGUUUGUCAUUGUAUAUGCUUUAGAAGUCUUCUUCCAAAAUUCUCUUAUCCUCAUGCAUCAUAUUCUUCUUCAUGCAUGUGCAUUACAUUCGUCCUUUGCCCUGUUCUCGUGUAGCCAUUGUUGUCGUUUAGUUCGUCGUUGUUCGUCACACUGGAAUCCUUAAGUUCAAGUUUUCUUAUUCCUUCAUUAAUGAGUCUUCUUCCUUCGUCCUGUCAUUGUGUUUUUCGUUCACAAUCCC
rnacentral:lncRNA from 1 species